rnacentral:rRNA from 1 species
AGGGGGCUAGCGUUGUUCGGAAUUACUGGGCGUAAAGCGCACGUAGGCGGCUUUGCAAGUUAGAGGUGAAAGCCCGGGGCUCAACUCCGGAAUUGCCUUUAAAACUGCAUCGCUAGAAUUGUGGAGAGGUAAGUGGAAUUCCGAGUGUAGAGGUGAAAUUCGUAGAUAUUCGGAAGAACACCAGUGGCGAAGGCGACUUACUGGACACAUAUUGACGCUGAGGUGCGAAAGCGUGGGGAGCAAACAGG